CCUCCUCUCACCCCCAUCCCUGUUCCCCCAUCUCCAACCUACACCCCACCCCAUCCACUCACCACUCCCCAGGCAGGGUAGGGCCCUCAUCUGCAAAGUCCACCAAAUCUUCCAGUGCUGGGCCUAGGCCCUUCCCCAUGUGUCCAGAGCCAGUGUAUCCCUUCACGUGGGAUGAGCUCUCAAAGUCCCUUCUUACACCAGGAAAAAAUGCUAAUCCACUUCCAUAGGCUCCCUGGAGUGCAGGGGCCUCCUAAUUGGCAUCCAUGUUCAGGGAUCUGGAUCAGUCUUCUACUAGCCUCCCAGAUAGCAUCUGGGGACGAUAUGCUUUCCCUGGUUCAGGCCAACUGUUUCUGUGGGUUUUUCCAACCUGGUACUGACCCCUUCGAUCUUCCUUCCUCCCUCUCUUCAAAUAGGUUCCACAUUUUAGCUCAGUGUUUUUCUGUGGAUGUCUGUCUCUGCUUCCAUCAGCCACUGGAUGAGGGCUCUUGAUGGGGGAAAUACUUCUGUGUAUGUUUAUCUUAUUGAUUGUUAAAUAAAGUUCUUGCUUGGCCAAUGACACAGCAAGUUAGGCUGGACUAGGAGUCAAAGAGGAUUCUGGGAAAUGUAGUAGAGAAGUAGUGUUCCAGGCAGGAAGUGACAUAGCAAGGAGACUCAUAUUGAAGAAGAUGAAGAAGGAAGUGUCGCUCUCUUUUCCCAUUCCUGCUCCAGUGGCGAGAUGUGAUUCACCAGCAAGGAGGGACACCAAUAAGGCGUCCGAUAAGCAUGUGGAAGCAUUUCCCAGAAAGACCAGAAAAAAGUUCCAAACCAUGAAACUAUGUAUGGAUGUUGAAAACCAAAUCCUGAACGUCUGCAGAAGCAAAAAUAAUCCUACUAACUAUAUGACACACACUGGCUUUGCGAUUGUAGAAGAUGAGAAGCUGUGGAUUUUUUCAAGACUAAUAUCGUUUGAUCAAGCAAGACCCCAAUGUAGCAGUGUCCCAGGUGAUCAAAUAUCCAAAACGGCUGAGACCAUGAAGACUCAUAGACCACUAUAGCCAGGAUUUGGACAGGGCUCUGUGUUUUAUAAGGAUGCCUUGGGAUUGACAGCAACCUUAAACAGCAGAUAGCAGUUUUACAGAACUACAACUAAAUCCCCAAGUAUUGUUUGUAGAGGUUUCUUUUCAUUUACAUUGGGUUGGUUAUAAAUAAUUACUAAUCACAGCCAAUUACUUUAAAACAAAAAAGGUAAUAUAUAAAAUGAAUAUUUUGCAUUGGUAUGGGUUUUGGUUUAUUGAUAUAAAUUUAAGGUCAAUUGUGUUAGUUGUAUAUUUACACUCUUGUUUAGGUAUUAUUGUGUUUAUAUAUCUCAUUUAUUAAUUGCAGAUUAUAGAUAUUCACUUAUAAUAUUCAAAAUUUUAGUUGUUAGUUAUGUUGUAUAGAUACUCACAUAUAUAUUUCAAAUGCAUAGGAAUUCACCAAAACCUUUCAAUGGUCUACAUAAUAUGGCAUUUAAAAUGGUUUAUAUGGGUUUUACAUGACAACGAGACAAAACUGCUCCUGGCAACAACAGUUAUGUCAGACAGGAAAAUGGACAUCGAAGGAACUCAUUAUAAAGUUUGCUGUCAAUAUGGUGUACUGGCCUAUUUGCCAAAUAACUACCCUUACCUCAAUUUCUGACGGUAAGCACACUGUCCAAAGUGGACAAGCAAGUUACUAAGGAAAGUUUCUGUUGAACUUGCCAAAAGACAAGUUGAUCCUUCAGUGUUCCUCCUACUUUACAGAAGAAAGCAACUGAUUAAUAUUCCCAAUACAAGACAGAACAUAUCUUCAAAUUUCUUACUUCAUUAAAAUAUCUGCCAGACACUAUUGCCUAUGGGAUGACGGUGCAUGCCCCAAUGUUAUAGAGAAAUUUUGGGUGACUGUCCAGGCAGUGAAAUGUCUCUGUCAAUUCUAGAGUUUAAAUAUUUUCCUCCAAGGGUCUUUGAUGGAGAUGAAGUCAGAUAGUAUGGUUAUGGUUUUUGUAGUUACGAUAAAAGAUAAGUUACUAAUAUAACUUUAGACUCACAAAGAUAGGAUAGAUGAUAGAAUAUUUAAUUUAAAAUUUCCCAAAUGUUAAUGGACUAAAUAUUAACUGUAAUUCAAUCUGGAUAAUUGCUAAAGUUAAAACCUUCCUUUUUAUUUAGACGAAGAGGAGAUGGUAUGUGGAUAUGAUUUUUUAUGCUGUGAAUAUGUUUCUCUUAUUCAUGAUGAAUAAACUUGUUUCGGCCAAAAGACUGGCAGAAUAUACCCAGUUAGGUUGUUGGUGUUGAUACUAGACUAGAAUAAUUUUGGGAAGAGGAAGGCAGGGAGUGAGUCACAAGAGAGAUGCCAUGUAGCUAGCUGCUGAGGAAGCAAUAGGACUAGGCAUUCCUGGUAAGCCAACACCUCAUGGAGAUACAUGUGGAGAUUAAUAUAAAUGGGUUCAGAAUUAGGAGAGAGCUAUCUAAGAAGAAUCCUUAGCAAUUGUCCAAAGAGUUUCUAAUUAAUAUAAGCCUCUGUGUGUUGAUUUGGAAGUAAGUAGCUGUAGACUGGAUGGUAUGGAACUUCCAUCUACACAUCUGUUCUUCUAACUGGUAUGCAUAGUACUUGGGUCUAAGUAGUCUGUUCUUCCAGCUGGUGUGGAUUGUAUUUGUACCUGUGUUAUCUGCUGGUGUUACAGGGGUGAGCUGGCCAUAAGAGUGGAUUAUUAGGUAUGUGAAGUUGGUCACCAGAGUGAGUCUUGGAGGGAAAAAGACCAGUGGGUGGCAGAGGAGGUGGUUAAGCCUGGUGGCAGUUCACUCACCUGCUUGCCAGCUGAUGGGGAUUGCUUCAGAACAGUGGAGUUCCACCAGAAUUGAGGACAGGUACUACCACCCUUCCUGUUGCUGUGGUGGUAGGGGGAGGGGCACAUAUAUGCUCUUGGGUUUAGGGUCUUGACUUUGAGGCAGUCCAGCUGGAAGACCAGUCCCUCACUUGUUUUUUCAACUGGUGUGAUCUGUGCUUGUGCCUAUGUCUGUUGGGUUUUGAUGGAGGGAUGGCCAUGGGGAGGAUAUUUAGGCUCAUGGUUUUUUUGGAAAGUGGGUCUUAUAGGGUCAGAGUCCAAUGUGUGGCAGUGGUGGUGGUACAGUAUUGAGAUAGGUCUCUCAUCUGCUUGCUUGAUGGCCAGCAAUCUUUGUAUGAGCAAAAGCUGAAGCCAUUUUUUUUCUAGGUGGGACAAGAUGUGCUUCUCUAUCUAUCUGUCUAUCUAUCUAUCUAUCUAUCUAUCUAUCUAUCUAUCUAUGUAUCUCCCGUGUGUGUGUGUGUGUGUGUGUGUGUGUGUGUGUGUGUGUGUCUGUUUGAACGUUAUUAUGUGAGUAGAUAUGACAUGAAGACAUGAAGAGUGUAUGUUUCUGUUGGUCAUGAGUAUAUGUGUAGCUAUCAAAUCACUAAGAAAGUCCAAGUUAUGCUGAAUAUAUGUCUCUAGUGAAAAUUUUGUAUUAAUAUUUCACACAAUAUAGGAUUAAUAAGAAUGCCUGUGGUAAUCUUUGGAUGCUUAUAUAAACAUAUUCAAGGAAAAAUUUCCAAGAGACAUGGUAUAACUUCCUAACAAACACAGAGGAUUCUGUUAGGUUGAAAGUCAUUGUUGAUAAAAAUAUGUCUGAUUUGUUAGGACAAUUUACAGUGUAUAAUUUCUUAAUCUCUGGCUUGUGAAGUUUUACUCACAGGAAAAUAUACUAUAAACUAUAAGCAAUUUAGAAAAAAAUAUUUAAUUGCAGGGCGUUAGUGGCGCAUGCCUUUAAUCUCAGCACUCGGGAGGUAGAGGCAGGCUGAUAUAUGAUAGUUCCAGGUCAGCCUGGUCUCCAGAGCAAGUGCCAGCAUAGGCUCCAAAGCUACCCAGAGAAACCCUGUCUCAAAUCCACCCAAAUAAAGAAAAAGAAAAAAUAUUUAAUUAAAUAAAUUACUCAUGUUUUUGCAAGUUGGUUAGUAUGUUCUUUUUUUUUCAUCCCCAAUAUCAUUGGCUAUGAGUCCAUAAGGUUGGAAGAAGCAGAAGCCACGACCAUGCUUUGAAUGGCUGUGAAUAUGACAGAAAUAGUCCUUACUGAGAUGACUUCAAAGACAAACCUUAACCUUUUUUCAGAGUGUAAGAAAUAUAUAGUAUAGAGACAAGUGGAGACAAACCUUAAUGUGUAUUGACUCACAGGAUCCAUCAUAUAGCUGGAUUAGUGUAAGCAUGGCCCAAUCAAAAUGGUCAGAGAAUUAACCUUUUUAUCAUGUGUGCCUCAGGAAAAAAGCAUUUGCAGGGAACUACAUCAAGUGUCAUCCUGAGCUAAGUCAGCUAUCAGGGUCUAGAAAAAUCUUCCAAAUAAGAACAGGUAGAGAAUAGGAAGCCUCACCUGGGAGGGGGGUCCUUCAUUUUGCAAAUCUUAUAGAAAGCUGGCAGGUCAUGAUAGACUACAAUCUCUGAAAAGCAGGAACUCCCAACAGUGGUUUUAAUACCCAAGUAAAUGUAAAAUUAAAUACCUCAUAUGACAGCACACCAAACUUACAAAGUAAUGUCCUUGGAAAUCCCAUAAGUUGUAAAUUAUCACUAUUGUUAAAUUUUAUCCUUUUGUUGUUAUAUACUUUUGAAACUAUUAAAAGAACACAUAAUUUUUAAAAGUAUUUUAAUUUUGUUUUUGAGAUUAUGAUAUAAUUAUCUUUCCUCUCUUUCUAACCUAAUUCCACAAUACAUGUAUAUUUUUUCUUGCUCUUUGUGAAACUCAUGGCUGGCCUCUGUGUUAAUUCACCGUUGUACGUAUAUGCAUAUCAAUAUGACUUCUUAAAUAAAAUCUAUUCUGACCAUAUACUGUUACUUGUGUGUUCAUGUAACAGUAAACAUAUUUUCUUUCCUAUAUAGCUACACUCUGCAUGUCUAUCAACUCCACAUGCAUUUUUUCAUAUUUUUUUAAAAUUUUAAAUCUUGGCAUAGCAAUCAAAACACAUAUUCUGAAUAAAUAUUUCUAUCUAUAAAGAGUUUUCUUCAAAUUGAAAUAAAGUUAAAUCUUAGAAUUGGUGAAAAAUGAAGACAAACAUCAGACUUAUGAGAAGUUGAAGUUCUCAGGAAAUAAGAAAACUUUUGAGGAUACAAAGCAGUUUGUAUUAAG
ensembl:lincRNA